rnacentral:pre_miRNA from 1 species
GUUGGGGGUGGGGGGUUUUCCCUCAGCCCAGAUUGUAAGAGGGCGCAGGCCAGGCUGAGGGACUCUACUGGUGCAUG